rnacentral:tRNA from 1 species
CUCCGGUUAGCCUAGUUGGUAAGGCUAUGGAUUGCCAAUUCGGAGACGGCGGGUUCGGGUCCCGUUCCGGUCG